rnacentral:tRNA from 1 species
UGCAGUUUGGUGGUAGAAUGCUUGCCUAGCAUGCAGGAGGCCCUGGGUUCAAUCCCCAGAACUGGGG